GCAACUGUAGUUUAAAUGGAUAAAACACAGAACUCAUAAUUCUGCUGAUCUGGGAUCAUACCCCAGCGGUUGCACCA
rnacentral:tRNA from 1 species